rnacentral:rRNA from 1 species
UACGUAGGGUGCGAGCGUUGUCCGGAAUUAUUGGGCGUAAAGGGCUCGUAGGCGGUCUGUCGCGUCGGGAGUGAAAACUCAGGGCUUAACCCUGAGCCUGCUUCCGAUACGGGCAGACUAGAGGUAUGCAGGGGAGAACGGAAUUCCUGGUGUAGCGGUGGAAUGCGCAGAUAUCAGGAGGAACACCGGUGGCGAAGGCGGUUCUCUGGGCAUACCUGACGCUGAGGAGCGAAAGUGUGGGGAGCGAACAGG